AACCGGCAGUGAAUUGGCACUGCUGAAGGCCAAUUGGGGCGAGAAUG
rnacentral:sRNA from 12 species